rnacentral:rRNA from 2 species
UGGGGAAUAUUGCACAAUGGGCGAAAGCCUGAUGCAGCGACGCCGCGUGAGUGAAGAAGUAUUUCGGUAUGUAAAGCUCUAUCAGCAAGGAAGAUAAUGACGGUACUUGACUAAGAAGCCCCGGCUAACUACGUGCCAGCAGCCGCGGUAAUACGUAGGGGGCAAGCGUUAUCCGGAUUUACUGGGUGUAAAGGGAGCGUAGACGGUUUGGCAAGUCAGAUGUGAAAGCCCAGGGCUCAACCCUGGGACUGCAUUUGAAACUGCUAGACUAGAGUGCAGGAGAGGUAAGUGGAAUUCCUAGUGUAGCGGUGAAAUGCGUAGAUAUUAGGAGGAACACCAGUGGCGAAGGCGACUUACUGGACUGUAACUGACGUUGAGGCUCGAAAGCGUGGGGAGCAAACAGG